rnacentral:rRNA from 1 species
UACGUAGGGGGGCAAGCGUUGUCCGGAAUCAUUGGGCGUAAAGAGCGUGUAGGCGGCCAGAUAAGUCCGCUGUGAAAAACUCGAGGCUCAACUUCGAGCUGUCGGUGGAAACUAUUUGGCUAGAGUCCGGAAGAGGAGAGUGGAAUUCCUGGUGUAGCGGUGAAAUGCGCAGAUAUCAGGAAGAACACCCGUGGCGAAGGCGGCUCUCUGGUACGGAACUGACGCUGAGACGCGAAAGCGUGGGGAGCAAACGGG